rnacentral:rRNA from 1 species
AUUGAACGCUGGCGGCAUGCCUUACACAUGCAAGUCGAACGGCAGCACGGGUGCUUGCACCUGGUGGCGAGUGGCGAACGGGUGAGUAAUACAUCGGAACAUGUCCUGUAGUGGGGGAUAGCCCGACGAAAGCCGGAUUAAUACCGCAUACGAUCUACGGAUGAAAGCGGGGGACCUUCGGGCCUCGCGCUAUAGGGUUGGCCGAUGGCUGAUUAGCUAGUUGGUGGGGUAAAGGCCUACCAAGGCGACGAUCAGUAGCUGGUCUGAGAGGACGACCAGCCACACUGGGACUGAGACACGGCCCAGACUCCUACGGGAGGCAGCAGUGGGGAAUUUUGGACAAUGGGCGAAAGCCUGAUCCAGCAAUGCCGCGUGUGUGAAGAAGGCCUUCGGGUUGUAAAGCACUUUUGUCCGGAAAGAAAUCCUUGGCCCUAAUACGGUCGGGGGAUGACGGUACCGGAAGAAUAAGCACCGGCUAACUACGUG